rnacentral:rRNA from 1 species
CUACGGAGGGUGCAAGCGUUAUCCGGAAUCAUUGGGUUUAAAGGGUCCGCAGGCGGAUUAAUAAGUCAGUGGUGAAAUCCUCUCGCUCAACGAGAGAACUGCCAUUGAAACUGUUAGUCUUGAAUUCGGUCGAAGUAGGCGGAAUGUGUCAUGUAGCGGUGAAAUGCAUAGAUAUGACACAGAACACCGAUAGCGAAGGCAGCUUACUAGACCUGGAUUGACGCUCAUGGACGAAAGCGUGGGGAGCGAACAGGAUUAGAUACCCCGGUAGUCC